rnacentral:rRNA from 1 species
AACGAACGCUGGCGGCAUGCCUAACACAUGCAAGUCGAACGAGACCUUCGGGUCUAGUGGCGCCCGGGUGAGUAACGCGUGUGAAUCUGCCCUUGGGUGCGGAAUCACAGGUAGAAAUGCCUGCUAAUACCGCAUAAUGACACCGGUCCAAAGAUUUAUCGCUCAGGGAUGAGCCCGCGUCGGAUUAGCUAGUUGGUAGGGUAAAAGCCUACCAAGGCAACGAUCCGUAGCUGAUCUGAGAGGAUGAUCAGCCACACUGGGACUGAGACACGGCCCAGACUCCUACGGGAGGCAGCAGUGGGGAAUAUUGGACAAUGGGCGAAAGCCUGAUCCAGCAAUGCCGCGUGAGUGAUGAAGGCCUUAGGUUUGUAAAGCUCUUUUACCCGGGAUGAUAAUGACAGUACCGGGAGAAGAAGCCCCGGCUAACUCCGUGCCAGCCGCCGCCGUAACAC